rnacentral:misc_RNA from 1 species
GCAAACUUGGUCAUUUAGAGGAAGUAAAAGUCGUAACAAGGUCUCCGUUGGUGAACCAGCGGAGGGAUCAUUAUCGAGUUACAAACUCCCAAAACCAUGUGAACUUUACCAUCGUUGCUUCGGCGGGUUCGUCCCGGGUGCGCCUCACGGCGUGGUCCGGAUCCAGACGCCCGCCGGGGGACCUUAACUCUUGUAUUUUCAGUGGAAUUCUGAGUGGCAUAAGCAAAUAAUCAAAACUUUCAACAACGGAUCUCUUGGUUCUGGCAUCGAUGAAGAACGCAGC